rnacentral:rRNA from 1 species
GUAGGGCGGGACACGUGGUAUCCUGUCUGAAUAUGGGGGGACCAUCCUCCAAGGCUAAAUACUCCUGACUGACCGAUAGUGAACCAGUACCGUGAGGGAAAGGCGAAAAGAACCCCGGCGAGGGGAGUGAAAAAGAACCUGAAACCGUGUACGUACAAGCAGUGGGAGCACGCUUAGGCGUGUGACUGCGUACCUUUUGUAUAAUGGGUCAGCGACUUAUAUUCUGUAGCAAGGUUAACCGAAUAGGGGAGCCGAAGGGAAACCGAGUCUUAACUGGGCGUUAAGUUGCAGGGUAUAGACCCGAAACCCGGUGAUCUAGCCAUGGGCAGGUUGAAGGUUGGGUAACACUAACUGGAGGACCGAACCGACUAAUGUUGAAAAAUUAGCGGAUGACUUGUGGCUGGGGGUGAAAGGCCAAUCAAACCGGGAGAUAGCUGGUUCUCCCCGAAAGCUAUUUAGGUAGCGCCUCGUGAA